GGACCUGACUGCUAUCGGAUUGAUACUAAGCCAUGCGAGUCAUUGUAGCAAUACAAGGCAGACGGCUCAGUAACGCGUAGUCAACCUACCCUAUGGACGGGAAUAACCUCGGGAAACUGAGUAUAAUGCCCGAUAGAACAUUAUGCCUGGAAUGGUUUAUGUUCCAAAUGAUUUAUCGCCGUAGGAUGGGACUGCGGCCUAUCAGUUUGUUGGUGAGGUAAUGGCCCACCAAGACUAUUACAGGUACGGGCUCUGAGAGGAGUGGCCCGGAGAUGGGUACUGAGACACGGACCCAGGCCCUAUGGGGCGCAGCAGGCGAGAAAACUUUGCAAUGUGCGAAAGCACGACAAGGUUAAUCCGAGUGGUUUCUGCUAAAGGAACCUUUUGUCAGUCCUAGAAACACUGAUGAAUAAGGGGUGGGCAAGUUCUGGUGUCAAGCG
rnacentral:rRNA from 1 species